GUUGUCAUGGUCGAGUUGUUAAGGUGACGGACUUCAAAUCCAUUGGUGUUUCCUUGCGCAGGUUCAAAUCCUGCUGACAACG